CAGCAGCCACGGUAAUACGUGGGGCGCGAGCGUUAAUCGGAAUUACUGGGCGUAAAGCGUGCGCAGGCGGUUGUGUAAGACAGGUGUGAAAUCCCCGGGCUUAACCUGGGAACUGCGCUUGUGACUGCACAGCUAGAGUAUGGCAGAGGGGGGUGGAAUUCCACGUGUAGCAGUGAAAUGCGUAGAGAUGUGGAGGAACACCGAUGGCGAAGGCAGCCCCCUGGGCCAAUACUGACGCUCAUGCACGAAAGCGUGGGGAGCAAACAGGAUUAGAUACCCGUGUAGUCCCUGUCUCUUAUAC
rnacentral:rRNA from 1 species